GCGAACUCACAUUAGAUUCAGUCGACUCUUGUCUCGAAAAAGUGCCAGAUUUGAUAGAGACCGAAGAGGGCGAACUGGGAUCGAAAUCCAAAGAAUCUGAAUGAGGGAUGGGUUGCGGCUCCGACUUCUCUUGACGCGAAGACCUGACUUGAAUAUCAACAAUAUCAACGUCCCAAAGAACCCAAUCUUGAGUAGCAGUUCUAUGAGGAAUAUC
rnacentral:misc_RNA from 1 species